CCUACGGGAGGCAGCAGUGGGGAAUUUUGGACAAUGGGCGCAAGCCUGAUCCAGCAAUGCCGCGUGAGUGAAGAAGGCCUUCGGGUUGUAAAGCUCUUUUGUCAGGGAAGAAACGGUGGGGGCUAAUAUCUCCUGCUAAUGACGGUACCUGAAGAAUAAGCACCGGCUAACUACGUGCCAGCAGCCGCGGUAAUACGUAGGGUGCAAGCGUUAAUCGGAAUUACUGGGCGUAAAGCGUGCGCAGGCGGUUUUGUAAGUUUGUCGUGAAAUCCCCGGGCUCAACCUGGGAAUGGCGAUGAAGACUGCAAGGCUAGAAUCUGGCAGAGGGGGGUAGAAUUCCACGUGUAGCAGUGAAAUGCGUAGAGAUGUGGAGGAACACCGAUGGCGAAGGCAGCCCCCUGGGUCAAGAUUGACGCUCAUGCACGAAAGCGUGGGGAGCAAGCAGGAUUAGAUACCCUGGUAGUCCACGCCCUAAACGAUGUCUACUAGUUGUCGGGUUUUAAUUAACUUGGUAACGCAGCUAACGCGUGAAGUAGACCGCCUGGGGAGUACGGUCGCAAGAUUAAAACUCAAAGGAAUUGACGG
rnacentral:rRNA from 1 species